rnacentral:rRNA from 1 species
UACGAAGGGGGCUAGCGUUGCUCGGAAUCACUGGGCGUAAAGGGUGCGUAGGCGGGUCUUUUAAGUCAGGGGUGAAAUCCUGGAGCUCAACUCCAGAACUGCCUUUGAUACUGAGGAUCUUGGGUUCGGGAGAGGUGAGUGGAACUGCGAGUGUAGAGGUGAAAUUCGUAGAUAUUCGCAAGAACACCAGUGGCGAAGGCGGCUCACUGGCUCGUAACUGACGCUCAUGCACGACAGCGUGGGGAUCAAACAGG